UACGUAGGGUGCAAGCGUUAAUCGGAAUUACUGGGCGUAAAGCGUGCGCAGGCGGCUAUGCAAGACAGAUGUGAAAUCCCCGGGCUCAACCUGGGAACUGCACUUGUGACUGCAUGGCUAGAGUACGGUAGAGGGGGAUGGAAUUCCGCGUGUAGCAGUGAAAUGCGUAGAUAUGCGGAGGAACACCGAUGGCGAAGGCAAUCCCCUGGACCUGUACUGACGCUCAUGCACGAAAGCGUGGGGAGCAAACAGG
rnacentral:rRNA from 1 species